ACCUCAGCCCAGCUGUGCCUCCCCUCUCACAGACCCCCUCCCCAACCUGCUGCAACCAAGGGCUUCUUGGAUUUUCUGGGGCCAGCUCUGAGUCCAUAUCAUCUUAUUCUCUGCAAAACAGGCAGUUUAUCAAAGUCCAGGCUAUUUCACCAUCAAUCACCCCUUCCUGAGAUGGCAAGAAAAGAGGGGAAAGCUGGCCAGCCCCUGCCCUGGGGUGAGGACUCAGGCAUCUUUCCCCACAGCCAGUUUGGGGGUGGAAGACUAGAGGGCUGCCUGUCCUCACUCCCACCUGCUUCAGGAGCUGGGUUCUUGUCCUCCAUCAUCAGGCCCCUGUUGCUCUGCAGUGAGCAGGAAGUGAAGUGAGAAGACCUCCUUCUGGGGCUCCCCAGUACCUCUCCUAGGUUUGGGGCCAAAUGCUGGAGCAGGUCACUUUUGACACUUGUCCCAGCUGGGCACAAGGGCAGGGCGGCCCUGUGGCUUAGUCUGGGGUGUGCAGGCUUGGCAGGUGUCCAGAAGUGGAGUUACUAAGAGUAAACCAUUUCCUCUCUCUUGGUAGGCUUUCUCCUCUCCCUGGAGUGGCUGGGGACCCCACCCUGAGGCUAGCCAAACUCAGCCCACCCUGCCGCUUUGGGCUGACCAGACAGGCAGGCAGUGGGUAGAGUGGUUCUGAGCCAUGGACUCAAACGGGUCCUGGUUCAGAUCUUGUCCAGCUUUGCCGCUAAGUAGAUGAGCAACGUUGGGAAAAUGACAUCCGGUCAGAGCCUCUUGUGAAAAGGGGGCUAAUAACCCCUGUGUGGCAGGGCUGUGAUUAGGGUCAAUUGAGAGAAAAUGGAUGGGAAACACGGAGACAGGCUCAGCAAACAAGAGCAGUUACUAUGGGAGCCACAGAGCUUCGGUCUCCCUGGCCCCUCUUCAGCCUGGGGCUGGGGCAGGGGGUGGGUAGUGGGUAGUUCCUGGAUUUGACCCUAAAGGAUCAGUCCCUUUUAGUCUGCUCCUCUGGCCCUGCCUCCUCUGGCUUUGGGAAAGUCAUGUGACUCCAGGCUGCCCGCUUAGCCAACUCUGC
ensembl:lncRNA